AUGGCUGCUUCUGCUACGCAACCUCGUGUCAUGGUGCUACCCUUCCCCGCGCAGGGCCAUGUCAUCCCGCUCAUGGAGCUGUCUCGCAAGCUCGCCGGGCACGGCCUCGCGGUAGACUUCGUGAACACCGAGUUCAACCACGACCUCGUCAUGGAAGCAAUGGCAGAGAAGGGAGCAAUUCCUGAUGGGAUCCACAUGCUCACCGUUCCGGACGGCCUGGGCCCCGGAGACGACCACGCGGACAUCGGCAAGUUUGUCAAGGACCUGCCGGCCGCCAUGUCCGGCCGCCUCGAGGAGAUGAUCCGAUCCAGGAAGAUUAGGGGGUGA
rnacentral:rRNA from 1 species